CCCCGUAACUUCGGGAGAAGGGGUGCCGGAUUAUAUCCGGCCGCAGCGACCAGGCCCAAGCGACUGUUUACCAAAAACACAGGUCUCCGCUAAAUCGAAAGAUGACGUAUGGGGGCUGACGCCUGCCCAGUGCCGGAAGGUUAAGGAAGCUGGUUAGGAUUACCGAAGCUAGCGACUGAAGCCCCGGUGAACGGCGGCCGUAACAAUAACGGU
rnacentral:rRNA from 1 species